rnacentral:rRNA from 1 species
CAAGGAGUCUAGCAUGUGCGCGAGUCAUUGGGAAUCGAUAAACCCAGAGGCGCAAUGAAAGUGAAAGUCUGCGUUCGCUAUAUGCGUUCGCCGUGAAGGGAAGAUGCGCGGGUGGCGUCAGCCGCCCCGCCGCAUUCUCGAGGCGUUUCGAGAAAGCCACCGUGCGAUUAUCGAGACGCACUGAGAGCGUACACGCUGGGACCCGAAAGAUGGUGAACUAUGCCUGG